CCACCCCUGACUUUUCAAUGAACUCCUUCAACCGUCACUUUUCUGUCAUGCAUCUGACUGCAAGCUGUACAAACUCUGCCGUCAUCAUAUCCAAGGCAGUGAGUUGUGAGGACUGCUUCCCUGAGAACACUGAGUGCAUUCUGGAAUAUUCCAAAUGUGUGCCACUUCCAUACAAAAGAAGUUUCAAUCCCGCAAGAGAGUUCACUCACCAGUGGGCUCCAUCAACAGACCAGGGCAAAGUCGGUCUGUCCUGCUACUACUACAUGCUACUUGACUAUGUCUGGAAGCCAUGGCUGCUGCCCUCAACAUGCUAAACUGAAACCCUCACAAAUAAACUGAUAUCAAUAAUUAACAUUGAUGGUGAUGGUGGCAAGGGUGCCUUCAUAAGGUGCCAUCCAGCAAGUCCCAGCCUGGAGCCAGCACGUUGGGGGAGGAUCUAUGUUAGGCAUCAGAAAGGUGGUUUAAGCAAGAAGGAAAGAGCUUCUGCAGACAGUGUUGCAAUUAGACACCUGACUUUUACUGCCAAAGGGACCAUCAGAGCACCUCUCCCUAUCAUCUAUACCAGAAGAGUACGGACAAGGGCCCAAAAUGUUAAAGGACGUUGCACGCCCAGACCAUGGACUGUUUAAACCACUGUGGUCAAGCAGAAGGCUCUGUUCUCACUCGAGGCAGGUCAUUGAGAGGGGGCGAGUGUCACUGCGUAAGCCCCCUACUGCAGGCGAGAAAGCCAUGUUGAUUUGAAUAUUGAUUGAUAAAUACAAUAACGGCCAUGUAACAAAUUUUAUUGCCUGUCGUACAGUAUAUGAAUUUUCAUGGUAAA